AUGAGAACAAACAGUUGUCAGUCAGACAGCAGCGGCUUCCUAGAGGAGCCCUUCAUACCUGCGCUAUCCCCGCAAAACAGCCCAGGACCCAAGCUCACGAAGAUGCUGAAUGCAAUAUCAAAAGAUAGUAAAGAGGAUCAACAGAAGAGAUUACAACAGCGAGAAAUGGAGGAUCCCCCUGCAGGUGAACCGAAUUGUGAAAUGGAGUCAAACCAAAAACCCUCGCCUACAAAAGACUCUGGCAAAACUGUUUUGGGAACAGCAGACUCUGAAACUAUGUUUGACUCAGGAGAGUUGAGGAAAAUAAGAAGUGAAAAAGAAAUCACUUUAUCCCCAGAUAUUAGUAAAGUUGGCAGAAAUAAUGUUUACACUCUAGCAUACUUUGUUCAAAUGGAUCCAGUCCAAAAUUAUCCUACCGAAAUUCGUGACCGACUGCGCGGAUCAAUUAGUCCAGACAGUCGUGUUUAUAGGGAGGGCAUGUCCUUGCUUGAGGAACUGAAAUCUGCUGAGACGAACUCACACUUGAGUCCUACUGAUCUGAGGACAGAUGUUUUGGAAAAGGGGGUGGGUAACUUUACAAAUAACCUUGAGGUGAGCAAAAAAGAUCCAGCUUUGGAUUUGAUUCAGGAAUCUCCUGCUUCUACCCACAACAAAACCGUGACCUCUGAUGCAGCCGCUGGACACAAUUCCCCCACAGCACUCAAACUCAGGAGAGAGUCUUUCUCCAGGAGAUCCUGGUCUGAUGGGAUCACAGAUAAUGACUCAGGAACAGCACAAACACCCACUACACAGACACCAUUCACAUCUGUGGACACAUCCCCACCUCACUUAUGGAACUCAGUGGAAAGUUCUGGAGAUCUUGGGCGUUUGCAUACGCGGUCGAUAUCUCUGGACACGGGACUGUCUUGUGAGGAGGAGGAUCACAGACUGCAGGAUGCAUUGGGGGCAGGGGCGCAGAGAUGCUUCUACUGUGGGUCCCAGAUUGGCUACGACAAUGGCUGGGCAAAACCUAAACCUGAUCUGUCUUCCAGUCUGCCUUACUCUCUGGAUGAGUUUGAAGACAUGGUGAAAUGUUUGAGGAAGUUCCAGGCAGUUCUGACAGAAAUCGAAGAGAGACUAGAAGAAGAACACGCAUCCGUGAUCAGAUCUCUGUCAGAUUCCCACAGGGAGGAAGUGGAAGAUGUUUUGAGGCUACGAGAAGCUGUCAAACAUGAAGCUGGGACGCUUGAACAGCAGCUGUCUGAUCUGGUACAUCACUCUGAUGACAGCAUUAAAAUGAAGCUGAAUCGGCUCAUGGACGAACAGUCUCAGCUGUGCACCCAACUGCAAAUUACCCCCUCUGAUAUGCAUCAUUCAGAGCCCACCUCUACCAGGAGCGUGGCCAUUCAGUGCUGCCUGCCGCCCGUCACGUCCAGUCAACAGCAGUGUGUCCAUCAUCACUGCACCUGUCAUGGGGCAUGUCAAGAUCCACACCGGUUCCCCUGUCAAACCCAAUGGGAGGCCAAUUACAAACCAGACAGGCUAGACUUCGUAGCUUUUAUUAAAAGUUUGAAAAAUUCACUACAACAUUCAAUGAAAAAUAAUUCAUUGGAAUAAGUGAUGCAGCAGUGAUGAAGACCCAUUUCACCGUUUUUUUGAAAGUCACUUAUAAAGUGAAGUGCUGACUCUUGAGCACAGAACUAAUAAAGAAUUAUGAAUAUACUAUUAUCAUGCGUCCACUUGAGUUUUUAUGUGUGCACAGACGUCUCUUAAUGUAGAGUGAACCUCCUCCCAGUAGCCUAACCGUCUCUCCUGCUCUCUUCAUCUUUGUGUCUUUGUAAUGAAACACUUCAUAUCAUUGUGGUGUUGCACUUACCAUAUAAGGAAACUGCUGCUCUCCUGAAGAAGCAGUGGAUGACAUAGUGCUGGUCCCCCGGUCUGAUUGGACAAUGAUCUGAUGGUUCCUCCACUGUUCCUGAGAUGCUCUCUCCAGCAGUUAUGGCCCAGUCUCAGGAACUGAAACCAUUUGCUGUUGAAAAUGUCAGUUGGCCUACUUUUUAAUAACUUCAUUUAAGAACGUUGUUGAACCUUAGAAAUAAACUUUUCCCAACUGGGACAGCUAUGGGGACCAUUUAAUACUAAUAGUGUUACAUUUUAGAAUAAAAAACUAUUCAUAGAUUUAAAAAAUCCAAAGGUAGCUAUUAUAAGUCAUCAUAACAGUUUUUAAAACACGUUUUGUGCAAUAACCAUUCAAUUGUUUAUCAUAUUAAAAAUAUUUUGGGCAAUGUUAAGGAGUUUUAAGCCAAUGUUGCUGUUAAAAUGCUUUGUGCCUACAAACUAUUCAAUGUUUUGCCAAGUAACAGAACAAUACGGAGUAAUAAUAACACUGUGAGAAACAUAGCUACCUGUUUGAAACGUUUUAGCAAAAAUAGGCCUCCUUCGAUGUCACUUCCUCAAAUAUGUUCUCAGAAAUACAAAAAUUAUAUUGGUUCAAAUCGUUGUCCUACCACCUAAACAAACGUAAAUGUAUCAAAGAAACAGAUCAGUAUGUGUUUAAAAUAUCAGUUAAAAAGGCGCUUUCAGAAUUUAGGGAUCAUGUGUAAAGUGCCACACUGUAUCCUUAUCCAGACUGACCAGGUUUUUACGUUUACAUUUAUGUUCUUGGCAGACGCUCCCUUACCAGGCGUAUAGGUUGGCAUAUGGACUUGUUGUGUUCAACAGGGUAGUAGAGUAUGGUUCAGUGAAUGAAAAUAUAAUAAAAACCACUUCACACGGGAGGAAGAAACACCAUUCACAUCAGAGGAGAAUAGAAAGACAUCAAAGCCUGUCAAUAAACAAUGUCCACAUUGUUUUCCAUUAUUAUUCAUUUCCUCUUAUUCACGCUCUCAACUAUGGUAGUCACGAGCUGUGGUGAGUGUAGAUGUGUAAAAUUAUGUUAAAUAUAAUUAGGCUAUUUAUGAUGUGGUAUAUUUAAAUUAUAUAUGGAUGCACUUAAAAUGAAAACCAAAUGAAGUGGGAAUAACUGAAGACAUAAUCUUAACACACUCCAUUUUACCAAACCUCACCUUCAUCGUGUUUGAAUCACUGCUUAAAGUGUUGAAGUUGUUUCAUUAACCUCGAUGACGUGUGUUCAUGGAAGCUGGGAUGAUUGACACAUGACAAGGGCCUCCGUCACCAUGACAACAGGCUCUAAAGGAGACAGAAAUAGAGGAGGCCCCUCCUCCUGAAGUACAUAACCCCUGUCUUUGAUCUGGCCUGCACUCGCUCUCCAUCUCUGCUGCACUGAGGUAAGGCCUCGCUCUUUCUUAUAAUUCACUUAUUUAGUUCUUUUCUAGAUUGAAAGAUAAAUACAAAAAUAUUUCAGAAGAUGUUAAUUAAUUAAAUAAUAGUUUUAAUAGUAAAAUGUUUGCAGUAUAUAAUCAAAGUUUUUUUUUUUGAGUAUUUAAACAGGUAUUUUUUUUUGUUUAAUGUUUUAUAAUUUAUUACCAUUUUAUAUAUAUAUAUAUAUAUAUAUAUAUAUAUAUAUAUAUAUAUAUAUAUGUUAUUUGUUACUUAUUGAAAUAUGAUUUAUU
ensembl:lncRNA